GAGACCUUUGAACGAGAUAGGCAAGUUUUCCUAGAGCAGGCUGCCAUGGAGCAUGAGAAAGCUCGAAAAUUCGUCAACAGAAACGACCCAGACACUGCCAUCCUCUGGUUGAGGAUGAAGAAAAUGGACCAGCUAUCUGCUGAAUACUGUCAGGAAAAACUGCUUCAUUUACGCGAACAAUUGGCUCGUCUUGAAAGGAUACGAUUGCAAUUGUUGAGGGACGACGAUCUCACCCCCCACAAUCCAAUGCUUGUGUUUACACUUUCUUUGGCUUUUUGUUUGUUCCUUCUGUUUUCAACUUACUUUGUGUUUUCGUAGAUAAGUUAUGAAUGUGCUAUAUAAGUCGUCAA